rnacentral:rRNA from 1 species
CGUCUAUAUACGUAUAGCAUAUCAAUAAGCGGAGGAAAAGAAACUAACUAGGAUUCCCUCAGUAACGGCGAGUGAAGCGGGAGGAGCUCAAAUUUGAAAUCUUCAAGGUUCUACCUUGACGAAUUGUAGUUUAAAGAAGUGUUUUCUGUUGGAGUUUUGGUAAAAGUUCUUUGGAAUAGGACAUCAUAGAGGGUGAGAAUCCCGUAUUUGACCAUUAUUUCAACUUUGUGAUACACUUUCAAAGAGUCGGAUUGUUUGGGAAUGCAGUCCAAAAUGGGUGGUAAAUUUCAUCUAAAGCUAAAUAUUGGCGAGAGACCGAUAGCGAACAAGUACCGUGAGGGAAAGAUGAAAAGAACUUUGAAAAGAGAGUUAAACAGUACGUGAAAUUGUCAAAAGGGAAGCGUUUGACACCAGUGUUGUUUUCUCGAAAAUCAAUUAAAAAUGGCGGGAUUUUGUGUUGUAUUGACUUUAUCAGCUUUCUGCACUUUUUUCCUAUCUUUUUUAAUGCACUUUUCGUUUAACAAGUCAACAUCAAUUUCUUUUGUUGUAAAAGAGUCAUUGGAAGGUGGCUUUCUUUUCGGAGAAAGUGUUUAUAGCCUUUGACUUCUGCAGUCGGAGAGAUUGAGGUCUGCAGCGUAGAUCCUUCGGGGUUAGAUACAUUUGUGCUAAGUUAUAGCCUUUCAUAGACAACUUGUUGACUAUGAUCAGUCAUGUAGCUUACUCGCUUAUGUUAUUUUACCUACGCUUAGGAUGUUGACGAUCAGCUGAGCGCG